CUCCGGUUGAUCCUGCCGGACCCGACUGCUAUCAGAGUGGGACUAAGCCAUGCGAGUCGACGUAGCAAUGCGUGGCGAACGGCUCAGUAACACGUAGUCAACAUGCCCAGGGGACGUGGAUAACCUCGGGAAACUGAGAAUAAACCACGAUAGGUCACGAUUUCUGGAAUGGAUCAUGGCCUAAAUCUACAUGGCCCCUGGAUUGGACUGCGGCCGAUCAGGCUGUUGGUGAGGUAAUGGCCCACCAAACCUAUAACCGGUACGGGCUCUGAGAGGAGAAGCCCGGAGAUGGGCACUGAGACAAGGGCCCAGGCCCUAUGGGGCGCAGCAGGCGCGAAACCUCUGCAAUAGGCGAAAGCCUGACAGGGUUACUCUGAGUGAUUUCCGCUAAGGGGAUCUUUUGGCACCUCUAAAAAUGGUGCAGAAUAAGGGGUGGGCAAGUCUGGUGUCAGCCGCCGCGGUAAUACCAGCACCCCGAGUGGUCGGGACGAUUAUUGGGCCUAAAGCAUCCGUAGCCGGUUCUGCAAGUCUUCCGUUAAAUCCAGCCGCUCAACGGAUGGGCCGCGGAGGAUACUACAGGACUAGGAGGCGGGAGAGGCAAGCGGUACUCAGUGGGUAGGGGUAAAAUCCUUUGAUCCAUUGAAGACCACCAGUGGCGAAGGCGGCUUGCCAGAACGCGCUCGACGGUGAGGGAUGAAAGCUGGGGGAGCAAACCGGAUUAGAUACCCGGGUAGUCCCAGCUGUAAACGAUGCAGACUCGGUGAUGGGCUAGCCUUGUGCCAGCCCAGUGCCGCAGGGAAGCCGUUAAGUCUGCCGCCUGGGGAGUACGGUCGCAAGACUGAAACUUAAAGGAAUUGGCGGGGGGAGCA
rnacentral:rRNA from 1 species